UGCCAGCCGCCGCGGUAAUACGUAAGUCCCAAGCGUUACCCGGAAUUAUUGGGUGUAAAGGGUUUGUAGGCGGAGAAAUAAGUUGGAUAUGAAAGACCGGAGCUCAACUCCGUGUUUGUGUCCAAAACUAUUUCACUAGAAUUAGGAAGAGGUAAGCGGAAUUCUGAGUGUAGGGGUGCAAUCCGUAGAUACUCAGAGGAACACCGAAAGCGAAGGCAGCUUACUGGUACUAUAUUGACGCUGAGGAACGAAAGCGUGGGUAGCGAAAAGGAUUAGAUA
rnacentral:rRNA from 1 species